CUUCUGCACACCAAGCUUGCAUUCUGCAAAACGUGAGCCCAACAGGAAGCUGCCUGCAAAUUCAGGUAGCUUUUCUUACUCUUAACCAGGUCUUGAAUAUACUUUCAGAGAAAUGCCAGCAAGAACUAUAAUCAUCUGGGGAAGAACAAAUCUGGAAGAAAAACACACAGAGGACUAGCACCAAGAGGAACCACAAAGGUAAGCUUCUUCCAGUUAACUGGCAAAAAGGCUGGAUGGAGAAUUUUCCUCUUCUGGGAUUCAAACAAGUGUCUGUAACCUACACCAGUUAGAAAUGGUUCAUGUACAUCCUAAAGAAGACCACACUUAGCAGUAAAUUAAAGGAACAAAACUAAGGUUGGUUAA
rnacentral:lncRNA from 1 species